AAAGUUGUGUAGUGCAAGUCGGCAUUUAUAAAGCCUUAGAUUGUGCAUGCAUAUUUAGUUCGUGACCUAAUUCCGUCAAGAAUAUCAACAGUUGCAAUGAAAACCUCUCUGGGACUACUGUGGAAUACGCCUCAAGGACAGGUUGCAGAAAUUUCAAAGUCGGGCUGCAAGAGUAAUUUCUGGCGCGACUUACGAUGUUCGG